AUACGGAAGGUCCGGGCGUUUUCCGGAUUUAUUGGGUUUAAAGGGAGCGCAGGCGGAGAUGCAAGCGUGACGUCAAAUUUCGGGGCUCAACCCCGUCUCGCGUCGCGAACUGCGUCCCUUGGUUGCGGGAAGGGGAGGCGGAACUCGUGGUGUAGCGGUGAAAUGCAUAGAUAUCACGAAGAACUCCGAUCGCGAAGGCAGCCUUCCGGCCCGUCAACGACGCUCAUGCUCGAAGGUGCGGGUAUCAAACAGGAUUAGAUACCCUGGUAGUCCGCACAGUAAACGAUGGACACCCGCGGUUUGGCCUGUAUGGCUGAGCCGCCAAGCGAAAGCGUUAAGUGUCCCACCUGGGGAGUACGCCGGCAACGGUGAAACUCAAAGGAAUUGACGGGG
rnacentral:rRNA from 1 species